GGGGCUGAAUGGGGUACUGGUGUCCCCCACGGUCUUCAAAACCGCUUGUGACCUGCGUGCCAGGUCAGCUGGGUUCGAUUCCCAGGCGGUCCCGCCA
rnacentral:tRNA from 2 species